GAUGAACGCUGGCGAUAGGCUUAACACAUGCAAGUCGAGCGGCAGCACAAUGUAGCCUGCUUUCUGGGUGGGGACAGGCGCACGGGUGCGUAACGCGUAUGCAACUUUACCUAUACAGGAGGAUAACCCGUCGAAAGACGGACUAAUUAUGCGUAAGCUCACAACUUGGCAUCAAGUGGUGAUUAAAGAAUUUCGCUAUAGGAUGGGCAUGCGUCCUAUUAGCUUGUUGGUGAGGUAACGGCUCACCAAGGCGACGAUGGGUAGGUGAGCUGAGAGGUUUAUCCCCCAGACUGGUACUGAGACACGGACCAGACUCCGAGGCGAGGCAGCAGAGUGGAGGAUUAGGCAAGGAACGCUGGCCUAAACCAGCCAAGUGGCUUGAGGGAGGACUGUCGUAGGAAUUGUAAUCUGCUGUUAUACAGGAAUAACAAGAGUCACGUGUGAUUUCCUGAAGGUACCGAAAGAAUAAGCAUCGGCUAACUCCGUG
rnacentral:rRNA from 1 species